rnacentral:rRNA from 1 species
AUGUGGAGCGCUUAGAAGUGAGAAUGCCGGUGUGAGUAGCGAAAGACGGGUGAGAAUCCCGUCCACCGAUUGACUAAGGUUUCCAGAGGAAGGCUCGUCCGCUCUGGGUUAGUCGGGUCCUAAGCUGAGGCCGACAGGCGUAGGCGAUGGAUAACAGGUUGAUAUUCCUGUACCACCUAUAAUCGUUUUAAUCGAUGGGGGGACGCAGUAGGAUAGGCGAAGCGUGCGAUUGGAUUGCACGUCUAAGCAGUAAGGCUGAGUAUUAGGCAAAUCCGGUACUCGUUAAGGCUGAGC